GCGAAAGCCCCCUUCGGGGGGCAAGUAGAGUGGCGCACGGGUGAGUAACACGUAGGUAAUCUACCUUCGGAUGGGGAAUAACAACCGGAAACGGUUGCUAAUACCGCAUAAUGCAGCGGCACCUAAUGGUGACAGUUGUUAAAGCGGGGGAUCGAAAGACCUCGCGUCUGAAGAGGAGCCUGCGGCGGAUUAGCUAGUUGGUAAGGUAACGGCUUACCAAGGCGACGAUCCGUAGCCGGCCCGAGAGGGCGGUCGGCCACACUGACACUGACAUACGGGUCAGACUCCUACGGGAGGCAGCAGUCGGGAAUUUUGGGCAAUGGGCGAAAGCCUGACCCAGCAACGCCGCGUGAAGGAUGAAAUCCCUCGGGAUGUAAACUUCGCAAGAACGGGAAGAAUAAGUAGGGGACAAUACCCCCUAUGAUGACGGUACCGUUUGUAAGCUCCGGCUAACUCCGUGCCAGCAGCCGCGGUAAUACGGGGGGAGCAAGCGUUGUUCGGAUUUACUGGGCGUAAAGGGCGCGUAGGCGGCCAGCACAAGUCAGUUGUGAAAUCUCCGAGCUUAACUCAGAAAGGUCAACUGAUACUGCUCGACUAGAGUGCGGAAGGGGCAACUGGAAUUCUUGGUGUAGCGGUGAAAUGCGUAGAUAUCAAGAGGAACACCUGCGGCGAAGGCGGGUUGCUGGGCCGACACUGACGCUGAGGCGCGAAAGCUAG
rnacentral:rRNA from 1 species